CGGAGGGUGCAAGCGUUGUCCGGAUUUAUUGGGUUUAAAGGGUGCGUAGGUGGCUCUAUAAGUCAGUGGUGAAAGUCUGCAGCUUAACUGUAGAACUGCCAUUGAUACUGUGGAGCUUGAGUACUGAUGAGGUAGGCGGAAUUGAUAGUGUAGCGGUGAAAUGCAUAGAUAUUAUCAAGAACACCGAUUGCGAAGGCAGCUUACUAAGGAGUUACUGACACUGAGGCACGAAAGCGUGGGGAUCAAACAGGAUUAGAUACCCUGGUAGUCCACGCCAUAAACGAUAAUUACUCGAUGUAUGCGAUAGACAGUAUGCGUCCAAGCGAAAGCGUUAAGUAAUCCACCUGGGGAGUACGACCGCAAGGUUG
rnacentral:rRNA from 1 species